rnacentral:rRNA from 1 species
UGCUAAUACCGGAUAACAAACAGAUGAUGCCUAUCAACUGUUUAAAAGAUGGUUCUGCUAUCACUCUUGGAUGGACCUGCGGUGCAUUAGCUAGUUGGUAGGGUAACGGCCUACCAAGGCGAUGAUGCAUAGCCGAGUUGAGAGACUGAUCGGCCACAUUGGGACUGAGACACGGCCCAAACUCCUACGGGAGGCAGCAGC